AGUGUACGGUACAUUGUGGACUGUAAAGCUGAAGAGUGCACAGUGGAUGCCUGAUUUUGGAACCGAGUGUGAUCGUCUGGGCGGUGUGUUCACUCUGCGGGGAUGAUGGCCAGAGGAAGGAUGAUAGACAGACGACAGCUUGCAGACGAAGAUGGGAGCGUUCUACCUGUGAGCCUGGUCGAGCUUAUAUUUUAUGGUAGGCAUUUGUUUCAAUCUUUACAAAGAGCUUCGACAUGUUGCGCCUGCUCAUGAACCUAUUGCAACUUUUUUGAGGGAAUUCUAAGAUCAAAGAAACAAGACCCUAGACGUAACUCCAUUAAUGUAUACUUGAUGCUGGACUUGACCUUCUGUGUUGUUUUCCUGUUUUCUUACAGGAUUUGCUGAAAGUUUCUAUUGGAAAUGCGAUAUAAGAUGCAAUUUUGACUAACUCUAACUUCACAAAAGUGCUUUUUGUCAACUACCUGCACGGGGCCUUGGCAGUACAUCUAAGUGUUCUAAGGUGCACGAUGUGUUGGAUAAAGUUUUCUUUGCAACUCUUAUAUAUUUACUGCGAUCUUUCGUGCAGGAUACACAUGCAUGGAUACACAUACAUGGAUUCCCUACAAGGACCCUGCGCAUCAAAAGCAAUCUGUCAUCAAUGUUAAGUAGACAGAUUAAACGAAACGAAGAUAUGACAGGUGUACACCAUAUUUUUCUUUCAUUUAACCUCUGCAUGUUUC